UACAGAGAGUGCAAGCGUUAAUCGGAAUUACUGGGCGUAAAGCGCACGUAGGUGGAUAUUUUAGUCGGAUGUGAAAGCCCUGGGCUUAACCUAGGAAUUGCACCCGAUACUGAAUAUCUAGAGUAUGGUAGAGGGAAGUGGAAUUUCCGGUGUAGCGGUGAAAUGCGUAGAUAUCGGAAAGAACAUCAGUGGCGAAGGCGGCUUCCUGGACUAAUACUGACACUGAGGUGCGAAAGCGUGGGGAGCAAACAGG
rnacentral:misc_RNA from 1 species